rnacentral:rRNA from 1 species
AGCGAACGCUGGCGGCAGGCCUAACACAUGCAAGUCGAACGAACCUUUCGGGGUUAGUGGCGGACGGGUGAGUAACACGUGGGAACGUGCCUUUAGGUUCGGAAUAACUCAGGGAAACUUGUGCUAAUACCGAAUGUGCCCUUCGGGGGAAAGAUUUAUCGCCUUUAGAGCGGCCCGCGUCUGAUUAGCUAGUUGGUUGAGGUAAUGGCUCACCAAGGCGACGAUCAGUAGCUGGUCUGAGAGGAUGAUCAGCCACAUUGGGACUGAGACACGGCCCAAACUCCACCGGAGGGCGGAAGUGGGAAUCUUGCGCAAUGGGCGAAAGCCUGACGCAGCCAUGCCGCGUGAAUGAUGAAGGUCUUAGGAUUGUAAAAUUCUUUCACCGGGGACGAUAAUGACGGUACCCGGAGAAGAAGCCCCGGCUAACUUCGUG